rnacentral:sRNA from 1 species
ACUACCAGCCCAGGGAUGGCACCAUGCACAAUGGGUCCUCUCACCCUUGGUCACUAAUUGAGAAAAUGCCUUACAGCUGGAUCUCAUGGAGGCAUUUUCUCAAGGGAGGCUCCUUUCUUUGUGAUGACUCCAGCUUGUGUCAGGUUAACACACAAAACCCGCACACUGCCGCAAUCUCUGUGAAUCUAUAUGUGCCACUGCCCUGUUGAGGACACUCACUCUAUCCAUCCAUUGAUAAUGAGUUUCACAGUCAUUCUGCUCCUUCUCCUACAGUGAUUUUAAGUGUGUAUCUUUUAAUUAAAACAUCCCCAUUAUAUCUGAAUUAGUUGAUUGUCUUAUGUACAACUGACCCAUUGGGCCCUUUCUAUGAAAUAAGACAGUGAUCAAAGAAAUAUCCAGGCUUAGUGUGGACUCUUACAAGGAGGGAGGGGGAAAAUGUCUUGACUUGGAACUCAGGCUUCUUUGAGAUGAAAUCACUGGACUCUUCUCCUGGGCUUAGAACCUGUAAGUAAAGGUUGGCGUGGCUGAGGGCAUGGAAGGACAUGGUAUACUGGAUCUUUGUAGAGUCAGGAUGGUGAUUUCAGCCCUCUGCUUCCUCAAGUAUAUACUUUAGAAAUCUUCAAUGCUUCAGAUGCACUUUUCUCUGAGACAGUGUGCCAUCAUAAAUGACAGAGUUGAUGUUGGUGGCUUUCAGCUAGGUUCUUAAAUGUCAUCAGCGUGUGAUUUGAACCUAGUCCCUGAGAGCUUGUGAGCUUCCUCUUGCAGCUGGAAUAUAACCUAGGAAACUCCAAAUCCCUUCACUCAGAAUCUGGUUAAGUUGUUGACAUCCCUUGAUUGAAGCUAACACAACCGGGCACUCUACGAUUAUCUUCCCACAAAGGUGAGGAGACUAAUGCUUUCUGUUCACCAGAUAAUGAAUGCCUUGCAGUGGUGGUGGGUGGCAAGAGCUCAGAAUAUUUAUGAAACUUCUUGAUUGACUUUAUUCUCAAGUGACAAUUCCAGCUUUGCAUAAGACAGCCAGAUAACUAUUUAAGGUAACACCUUAUUUUUGGAAAUGUUAUUUUUUCUACCUAAAAGGGUAAGAGACUUUACUGGCAGUUUCAAUUUUUCCUUCCAUUCCUAGAGAACUUUGUCAACACGAGGAUGACUUGACAGAGGAAACUUUCAAUGAGGACUGCAGAGUGCCACUGGAUUUCAGAGCUGCAUGAGAUCUUGGAGUAACCUCUUCUCACUACUGUGAUUGAACCCAAGGUGAAGUGCAGACAGGAGACAGGAAUAACUGGAGAAUGUCUCAGGAAUAUAGCAUCCUGGGAAGAGGAGGGGCUGGCCAGCAGGCUGGGUUUUUCAGUGUGUAUUAAAUCCAGGCCUUAUUAAACAGGGUCUAAAGAUUUCUAAGGAACAGAGAAAGCUGCUCCUGGUGUCAGCAGGAGUCUUGGAGUAACCUCUUCUCACUACUGUGAUUGAACUGUGUCUCAUGGCUUGUGAAACGCUCAUGGAGGUUUUUACAGGUACACUGUUCAGCAGAAAGCACCUACAGCUUUCACUGUGCCCUCAAAGGAAUCUCGACACUUGUAGGCUGCCCCAACUAGGACAAGUGGAGCAAGCUCUGCUCACUUCAGACCUGCAAUCAGGGAGCUUUCAUAUUAAGUAUUGGCCGUCUGUCUGCCCUUGUGUAAGGCUGAUAGGUUUUUGCAGCAAUUUCUAUGAAGGAGAGGUUUAUUAUCUCAGAUGGGAUGUCCCAGGUAGUGAUUCUCCACCUUCCUGGUCCUCUGAUCCUUUACUACAGUUCCUCAUGUUGUGAUGA